AUGACGUCAAUGCAGGUCAGCAGCAGACUCUCCGGGAGGGCGGGCGGGCUCCCGGCUUUCAGGCUCGGCGCAGUCUACUGGCGGGAGGGCGCCGGCGAGGUGGCGAGGGCGGCAGGCGCGGGGGCGCGGGAACCCCGGCCAGGCCCAGGGACCAGAGGGCGCCCCCUCCCAGCGCCCGGACCCGGGGGAGCCAGAGAAGCCAGCAGGUCCGGACUCGAUGAGGGGGCUCCACGCCGGGCCUCCCACGCACAGUUGUUCCAGAUUUCACCCUACCCCCAGCCGGGCGGUGGCCGUCUUUUCUCCACACUGGCCACAGCUUCGGGCGGCUGCGGACUUCUCAGAGCUCAAGCUAUCUUCUUGCCCCAGCUCACUUGUGCCCUUCCCUCCUUGGAGCGUGAGUUGAAGAGGAGGAAAUCCCUUUCCAUCCGCCCCCUUUCGCCGGGGGUUUAA
rnacentral:lncRNA from 12 species